rnacentral:rRNA from 1 species
CUUUGACGUUAGCGGCGGACGGGUGAGUAACACGUGGGUAACCUACCUAUAAGACUGGGAUAACUUCCCGGGAAACCGGAGCUAAUACUGGGAUAAUAUUUCGAACCGCAUGGUUCGAUAGUGAAAGAUGGUUUUGCUAUCACUUAUAGAUGGACCCGCGCCGUAUUAGCUAGUUGGUAAGGUAACGGCUUACCAAGGCGACGAUACGUAGCCGACCUGAGAGGGUGAUCGGCCACACUGGAACUGAGACACGGUCCAGACUCCUACGGGAGGCAGCAGUAGGGAAUCUUCCGCAAUGGGCGAAAGCCUGACGGAGCAACGCCGCGUGAGUGAUGAAGGUCUUCGGAUCGUAAAACUCUGUUAUUAGGGAAGAACAUACGUGUAAGUAACUAUGCACGUCUUGACGGUACCUAAUCAGAAAGCCACGGCUAACUACGUGCCAGCAGCCGCGGUAAUACGUAGGUGGCAAGCGUUAUCCGGAAUUAUUGGGCGUAAAGCGCGCGUAGGCGGUUUUUUAAGUCUGAUGUGAAAGCCCACGGCUCAACCGUGGAGGGUCAUUGGAAACUGGAAAACUUGAGUGCAGAAGAGGAAAGUGGAAUUCCAUGUGUAGCGGUGAAAUGCGCAGAGAUAUGGAGGGAACACCAGUGGCGAAGGCGACUUUCUGGUCUGUAACUGACGCUGAUGUGCGAAAGCGUGGGGAUCAAACAGGAUUAGAUACCCUGGUAGUCCACGCCGUAAACGAUGAGUGCUAAGUGUUAGGGGGUUUCCGCCCCUUAGUGCUGCAGCUUACGCAUUAUAGCACUCCGUCCUGGGGAGUACGAUCCCAA